UAGGGAAUCUUCGGCAAUGGACGAAAGUCUGACCGAGCAACGCCGCGUGAGUGAAGAAGGUCUUCGGAUCGUAAAACUCUGUUGUUAGAGAAGAACAAGGACGUUAGUAACUGAACGUCCCCUGCCGGUAUCUAACCAGAAAGCCACGGCUAACUACGUGCCAGCAGCCGCGGUAAUACGUAGGUGGCAAGCGUUGUCCGGAUUUAUUGGGCGUAAAGCGAGCGCAGGCGGUUUGUUAAGUCAGAUGUGAAAGCCCCCGGCUCAACCGGGGAGGGGCAUUGGAAACUGGGAGGCUUGAGUGCAGAAGAGGUGAGUGGAAUUCCAUGUGUAGCGGUGAAAUGCGUAGAUAUAUGGAGGAACACCAGUGGCGAAGGCGGCUCUCUGGUCUGUAACUGACGCUGAGGCGCGAAAGCGUGGGGAGCAAACAGG
rnacentral:rRNA from 1 species